GACAGAGGAUGCAAGCGUUAUCCGGAAUGAUUGGGCGUAAAGCGUCUGUAGGUGGCUUUUUAAGUCUGCCGUCAAAUCCCAGGGCUUAACCCUGGACAGGCGGUGGAAACUACCAAGCUGGAGUACGGUAGGGGCAGGGGGAAUUUCCGGUGGAGCGGUGAAAUGCGUAGAUAUUGGGAGGAACACCAGUGGCGAAGGCGGCUACCUGGACCGGAACUGACGCUGAUGCGCGAAAGCGUGGGUAGCAAACAGG
rnacentral:rRNA from 1 species